rnacentral:rRNA from 1 species
AACGAACGCUGGCGGCAUGCCUAAUACAUGCAAGUCGAACGAGAUCUUCGGAUCUAGUGGCGCACGGGUGCGUAACGCGUGGGAAUCUGCCCUUGGGUUCGGAAUAACUUCUGGAAACGGAAGCUAAUACCGGAUGAUGACGUAAGUCCAAAGAUUUAUCGCCCAAGGAUGAGCCCGCGUAGGAUUAGCUAGUUGGUGGGGUAAAGGCCCACCAAGGCGACGAUCCUUAGCUGGUCUGAGAGGAUGAUCAGCCACACUGGGACUGAGACACGGCCCAGACUCCUACGGGAGGCAGCAGUAGGGAAUAUUGGACAAUGGGCGCAAGCCUGAUCCAGAAAUGCCGCGUGAGUGAUGAAGGCCUUAGGGUUGUAAAGCUCUUUUACCCGGGAUGAUAAUAACAGUACCGGGAGAAUAAGCUCCGGCUAACUCCGUGCCAGCCGCCGCGGUAACAC